CCUACGGGGGGCUGCAGUGAGGAAUAUUGGUCAAUGGGCGCGAGCCUGAACCAGCCAAGUAGCGUGAAGGAUGACUGCCCUACGGGUUGUAAACUUCUUUUAUAGAGGAAUAAAGUGCGGCACGUGUGCCUUUUUGUAUGUACUUUAUGAAUAAGGAUCGGCUAACUCCGUGCCAGCAGCCGCGGUAAUACGGAGGGUCCGGGCGUUAUCCGGAUUUAUUGGGUUUAAAGGGAGCGUAGAUGGGGUGUUAAGUCAGGUGUGAAAGUUUGCGGCUCAACCGUGAAAUUGCAAUUGAUACUGGCAGGCUUGAGUACAGGUGAGGUAGGCGGAAUUCGUGGUGUAGCGGUGAAAUGCUUAGAUAUCACGAAGAACUCCGAUUGCGAAGGCAGCUUACUAAACUGCCACUGACAUUGAUGCUCGAAAGUGUGGGUAUCAAACAGGAUUAGAUACCCCUGUAGUC
rnacentral:rRNA from 1 species